CUAGCUCAUCCUGGCUCAAAAAGCACCUCCAAUGAGCACCUUGUGACCCCCGCCCCUGCCCACCAGAGAACAACCCCCUUUGUAAUUUUCCAUUACCUUCCCAAAUCCUAUAAAAUGGCCCCACCCCUAUCGCCCUUCCCUGACUCUCUUUUCGGACUCAGCCUGCCUGCACCCAGGUGAAACAAACAGCCAUGUUGCUCACACAAAGCCUGUUUGGUGGUCUCUUCACACGGACGCGCAUGAAAUUUGGUGCCGUGACUCGGAUCGGGGGACCUCCCUUGGGAGAUCAAUCCCCUGUCCUCCUGUUCUUUGCUCUGUGAGAAAGAUCCACCUAUGACCUCAGGUCGUCAGACCGACCAGCCCAAGAAACAUCUCACCAAUUUCAAAUACGGUAAGCGGACUCUUUUUACUCUCUUCUCCAACCUCCCUCACUAUCUCUCAACCUCUUUCUCCUUUCAAUCUUGGCACCACAAUUCAAUCUCUCCCUUCUCUUAAUUUCAAUUCCUUUCAUUUUCUGGUAGAGACAAAGGAGACACAUUUUAUCCGUUGACCCAAAACUCCGGUGCCGGUCACGGACUGGGAAGGCAGCCUUCCCUUGGUGUUUAAUCAUUGCAGGGAUGCCUCUCUGAUUGUACACCCACAUUUCAAGGGUGUCAGACCACGCAGGGACACCUGCCUUGGUCCUUCACCCUUAGCAGCAAGUCCCACUUUUCUGGGGAAGGGGCAAGUACCCCAACCCCUUCUCUCCUUAUCUCUACCCCUUCUCCACUUUUCUGGGAGAGGGGCAAGUACCCCUCAACGCCUUCUCCUUCACCCUUAGUGGCAAGUCCCGCUUUCCUGGGGCAGGGGAAAGUACCCCUCAACCUCUUCUCCUUCACCCUUAGUGUCAAGUCCCACUUUCCUAGGGGGCAAGAACCCCCCAAUCGCUUAUUUCUGCACCCCAACCUCUUAUCUCUGUGCCCCAAUCCCUUAUUUCCAUGCCCCAACCCCUUCUCUGCUUUUCUGGAGGGCUAGAACCCCCCACCCCUUCUCCAUGUCUCUACUCUUUUCCUUGGGCUUGCCUCCUUCACUAUGGGUAAGCUUCCACCUUCCAUUCCUCCUUCUUCUCCCUUAGCCUGUCUUCUCAAAAACUUAAAACCUCUUCAACUCACACCUGACCUAAAACCUAAAUGACUUAUUUUCUUCUGCAAUGCUGCUUGACCCCAAUACAAACUCGACAGUAGUUCCAAAUAGCCGGAAAAUGGCACUUUCAUUUUUUCCAUCCUACAAGAUCUAAAUAAUUCUUGUCGUAAAAUGGGCAAAUGGUCUGAGGUUCCUGACGUCCAGGCAUUCUUUUACACAUCAGUCCCUUCCUAGUCUCUGUGCCCAGUGCAACUCGUCCCAAACCUUCCUUCUUUCCCUCCCGCCUGUCCCCUCAGUCCCAACCCCAAGCGUCGCUGAGUCUUUCUAAUCUUCCUUUUCUACAGACCCAUCUGACCUCUCCCCUCCUCACCAGCCCAAGCUAGGUCCCAAUUCUUCCUCAGCCUCAGCCCCUCCACCCUGUAAUCUUUUUAUCGCCUCCCCUCCUCACACCUGGUCCGGCUUACAGUUUCGUUCUGUGACUAGCCCUCCCCCACUACCCAGCAAUUUACUCUUAAAAAGGUGGCUGGAGCCAAAGGCAUAGUCAAGGUUAAUGCUGCUUUUUCUUUAUCCCAAAUCAGAUAGCGUGUAGGCUCUUUUUCAUCAAAUAUAAAAACCCAGCCCAGUUCAUGUCUCCUUCGGCAGCAACCCUGAGAGGCUUUACAACCCUAGACCCUAAAAGGUCAAAAGGCCAUCUUAUUCUCAAUAUACAUUUUAUUACCCAAUCUGCUCCCAACAUUAAAUAAAACUCCAAAAAUUAAAUUCCGGCCCUCAAGCCCCACAACAGGACUUAAUUAACCUCACCUUCAAGGUGUACAAUCAUAGAAAAAAGUUGCAAUUCCUUGCCUCCACUGUGAGACAAACCCCAGCCACAUCUCCAGCACACAAGAACAUCCAAACGCCUGAACCGCAGCGGCCAGGCGUUCCUCCAGAACCUCCUCCCACAGGAGCUUGCUACACAUGCCGGAAAUCUGGCCACUGGGCCAAGGAAUGCCCACAGCCCGGGAUUCCUCCUAAGCCGCGUCCCAUCUGUGUGGGACCCCACUGAAAAUCAGAUUGUUCAACUCACCUGGCUGCCACUCCCAGAGCCCGUGGAACUCUCGCCCAAGGCUGUCUGACUGACUCCUUCCCAGAUCUUCUUGGCUUAGCUGCUGAAGACUGACACUGCCGGAUCGCCUUGGAAGCCCCCUAGACCAUCACGGACACCGAGCUUCGGGUAACUCUCACAGUGGAAGGUGAGAAUAUGUGGUAUUUGGGUUUCUGUUCCUUCAUCAAGUUGCUUAAGAUGAUGACCUUCAGCUCCAUCCAUGUUGCUGUAAAGGACAUGAAUUCAUUCGUUUUUACAGAGUGGGUGUACCAGUUCACAAUCCCAAUAGAAAUGAUGUAAGAAGCAGGACACAACUCCAGAGGUGGGGCUCAGACAUGGAACCAGAUUGAGGACAAGUUAACACAGGGCCUGGUAAGAAGCAGUUUUCUAAUUAGACAUGCCCACCAAUGUGCCAUGUCAAUUUAUCAUUCCAAUGGCAACACCCAGCUUUUACCGACUCUUUACAUGGCUAUGACCCAAUGACCCAAGUUACUACCCCUUCCCUAGAAAAUUCUGCAUAAACCACGCCUUAAUCUGCAUGCAAUUAAAAGUGGGUAUAAAUAUGACUGCAAAGCUGCCCUGAGCUACGGUGGUCUGCCUACUACUGGGUAGCCAUGCUCUGCAGGAGCAGUCAUGGAGCUGUAACUCCAUCAGACUGUAACACUGCCUCUUCAAUACAACUGUUUUCUUCUACAUCUGGCUUGCCUUUGAAUUCUUUCCUGGGCAAGGCCAAGAACCCUCACAGGCUAAACUCCACUUUGGGGCUAGUUUGCCCUGUAUGAGAAAUGUUUGAGUCCAGUUCCUCUACAUCCUAACUCACAUUUGACACUGGCAUUGAUUUUUUAUGUAUUUAUCGAUUUUGUUCUGUAUUGUUUUGCCACUUGGAUAGGUGUGUAUGCCUGGUUCAUUUUGAUUACUGUAUGUAUGGUUCAUUUUGGGUUUCUCCAGUGUCUGAUGAUGUUGAACAUCUUUGCAUGUGCUUACCUGCCACUGGGACAUCUUCUUCAAUGAAAUGUAUCUUGCUGUUUUUUGCUCAUGUCAUAAUUGGGUUUUCUUUUGAGAAUUCUUUACAUAUUGUAGAUACUAUCCAUUUGUCAAAUACAUGGCUAGCAAACAUUUUCUUCCCAUAUGUAGCUUUGUUUCACUCUUUAUAGAGUGAAAUAUUUAGAUUUCAAUGAAGUCCAAUUUGUCAUUUUUCCCUUAUGGUUCAUGCUUUUGAUGUAAACAAUAAGGAUUCUGUCCAUCAUAGAUUCCAAGUAUUUGUUCUAUAUUUUUAGCUACAAGUUUCACACUUUUACAUUUUACAUUUAAUCUGUGGCUUAUUAUGAGUUAAAUUUUGUAUAAAAUGUGAGAGGUUUGAAGGUUGAGUUCUUAUUUAUUUUUUACUUGCCUUUUUUUUUUAUCUGUAAGUGUUCAAUUGCUCGAGAACCGUUAUUUGAAAAUGUUAUCUUUUCUGCAAUGAAUUGCCUUUGGAACUUUGUCAAAAAUUAGUUAGGGGUAUGUUUGUGGAUUUAGUAUAUUUGGGCUUUUUGUUCUCUUCAAUUAAGCUAUGUAUCUAUACCUCCACCAAGACUAGACUAUAUUAUUACUAAUAGCUAUAUAGUACUUUACGUUGAGUGGGGUAAUUUUUUCUACUUUAUUUUCCAUUAUCAGGACUGGUGUGGCUAUUCUAGUGACUGUGACUUUCUGUGUAAAUUUCAAAAUAUUUUUGUCUUUUGUCUACAGAAAAAACCCCUUGCUGGGAUUUUGGUAGCACCUGCCUAAACCUAUAGAUCAACUUGGUAGAAUUAAUGUCUUUACUCUGCCAAGUCUUUCAAUCUAUUCACCCAAUAUAGCUCUUCAUUUAUUUAGCACUUUGAAAAUUUCUUUCAUCAUUAUUUUGCAUUUUUCAACUGACAUUUCCUGUAUAUGUUUUAUUA
rnacentral:lncRNA from 10 species